rnacentral:tRNA from 1 species
CUCGUUAGUGUAGGGGUCCAUCAUGGUGGGUUUUGGUCCCGCCAACCUCGGUUCGAAUCCGAGUCGGUUUA